rnacentral:rRNA from 1 species
GAUGAACGCUAGCGGAAAGCUUAACACAUGCAAGUCGAACGCCCGCAAGGGAGUGGCGAACGGGUGCGUAACACGUGCUUAAUUUGCCCUGGAGUGGGGAACAACUGCCGAAAGGCAGCUAAUUCCGCAUACGCUCCGAGGAAUGAAAAUACUCGGAGGAAAGAUUUAUUGCUCUAGGAGAAGGGCGCGGCCUAUUAGCUAGUUGGUAGGGUAAUGGCCUACCAAGGCUUUGAUGGGUAGCUGGUCUGAGAGGAUGAUCAGCCACAAUGGGACUGAGACAAGGCCCAUACCCCUACGGGGGGCAGCAGUGGGGAAUCUUGCGCAAUGGACGAAAGUCUGACGCAGCUAUUCCGCGUGAAGGAUGAAGCAUUACGGUGUGUAAACUUCUUUUCUGGGGAAUGACGACUGACAGUACCCCAGGAAUAAGGGACGGCUAACUACGUG